AAAGCUGUGAUGAUAAUCAACACUUAAGGAAGUGUUUAGGGAAGUGGACAAAUAUAAUUAAUUUUGUAUUUGCCGUGAUCCCAUAAUUAAACGACUUCUCCUUCCACUGAGCUUU